rnacentral:lncRNA from 1 species
UCCUGUUCCUCAUCUUCCCCUUUCCAGGCCGAAUUGAGUGGCUGUCCUUGGCCUUCUCAGCAUCAUCAUAAGCCCCGAUCUGCUUCAGCAGCUUAAUCGCAGCCGAGGUCUUCUCAACUCCCUCAGCAGUGUCGCUGAUAACCAGGGGUAAUUCGGGAACAUUCUCGAUCCUGUGACCCCUGGCAGUCACCAGAGACGGAACCGAGGAAGCCGCGAUAGCCGAAACGACGGCGUAUCGCUUCUGGUUGACGUUGAUCUUGCGGUGCCAGCGGCGCCAGAUCUUGGUGGGAGCGAACAUCCUUCCGCCGCGGCACAUGUUACCGAAGGCGGCCUGGCCGGCGCGG